rnacentral:tRNA from 1 species
GCCUGGGUGGCUCAGUCGGCUGAGCAUCCGACUUGGGCUUAGGUCCUGAUCUCACCUCUGUGGGUUCAAGCCCCACAUCAGGCU